GCUGGCGUAGCCAAGUCUGGCCAAAGGCGACAGACUCAAGAUCUGUUCUCGCAGGAGUUCCCAGGUUCAAAUCCUGGCGCCAGCA
rnacentral:tRNA from 1 species